rnacentral:rRNA from 1 species
UACGUAGGGCGCAAGCGUUAUCCGGAAUUAUUGGGCGUAAAGAGCUCGUAGGCGGUUUGUCGCGUCUGCCGUGAAAAUUCGAGGCUCAACCUCGAACUUGCGGUGGGUACGGGCAGACUAGAGUGCGGUAGGGGAGAAUGGAAUUCCUGGUGUAGCGGUGGAAUGCGCAGAUAUCAGGAGGAACACCGAUGGCGAAGGCAGUUCUCUGGGCCGUAACUGACGCUGAGGAGCGAAAGCGUGGGGAGCGAACAGG